UUAGGGUAGUGGUAGAAAAGAAAGUAUUCACCUUUGUCUUCCUGUGUUGUCACAUUAGUGUAAAGAAGGGGCUGGUGGAGUUGCCUUUUUAUCAGAAAUUACCAUGCAGUUCUUUGCUCCUCUUGUUGAAUGUGUGAAUGUCAGCACAGUAAUUACAUGUGAACACAAUUUUCAAACUGCCAAAUAUUUUUGCUUUAUACUAAGUGCUGGUACUAAUGAUCAGGUGCCAAAGGCUGACAUGAAUUCACGUAUAAAAAGUUAUCCUCUGUAUUUUUUCUUUAUAGUUGUUCUGUUUCUUGUCAGCAGCACCUGUGUGCAUGCACUUGGAGGUUAAAAUUGCUCCUCAGAGGAUUAGCAAAUCUUCUGAAUAAGUCUCAGCUGGGGCUAUUGCCCUCCCACAGUUCCAUCCCAGCUGCCCUUUGUUUCUUUCUCACUGCCACUGCUCUCAGAUCAUUCCCAUUUCAUGUUCCUUCCUUAUCAGUUCAUCUCACACUCUCUGGAAGCAAACUUCAUACUUUGAUCAGCAUGUACUUUUAAAAAAUGUUGGUGGAGAAGAGGAGAUACUGGAGGCCUGCUGCUGCAGAGGUGGGGGCUGUCAGCCACUGAUGUGAUUGAGAAAGUUCUUAUUAUUAAGUUCUUCAUGACUUCUAUUGCCACUGAUACCUUUCGGAUCAAAGUAAUAUGAAGGCAGUUCAUGAGGCUCAGCAGAUAAAGUCCUGAAUAGGAUAAUGUGGAAUGUCUUUGCUAUUUGGCCUCAGUUGUACCUGGCCAAGAACUUCAGGUAAAACCUCUCCUCUUCUGACUUUGUAGCCUCAAGGCAAGGGCUGAAGAACUGAACUGAUGUGAAGACAAAAUUAUCAGUCCAGCCUUCUGUAAUCCUGUGUACAUCGUCCUUGGAGCCAGGCAGGGGCCUAUCAAACUAUCAGGGAGAUUUGCUUGUCUCACUGAUAUAACUUCAGCUCCUUGCUGAGGCACUGCCUUAUCACCACUGACAAGAUUACAGUGGUUUCCUUGAUAGUGUGGGGAACUUAGCAGGCAGCUGUGGCUAAUCCAGAAGGAAAUGUUCUCCCACUGAGGUACAUGGAGAUUUGAAUGCUGCAAAUAUAUUUGAAAAAAGAGUAUCAUUUUUAAAAGCAUGUUAAUUCUCAUUCUGCUUGCUGAUGCAUAGCUGCAGAUACAGGUUAGCAUUACUGCCCUCCUGUAAAAGCCAAGAACUCAGCCUGGACUGGUGCUCAUUGGCUUCUUGUGGAAGCUGGGAUGAGAAAUCCACGUGCAGCACCCUGAGGCACACAGGCCAUCUUCUGGGGACACUCUGGGAGGUGAUCUACUGUGAAGCUGAUGGUUUGUGUCACACUCUGCUGCUGUGAUAGCAAAAGGCACAAGUUCAUCUUUGUCUGUGUAAAACUGGACUCUGAGAUUUGUGUCUUGGCUGGGGAGUUGGUGCUCAAAGCCAUACAGUAAGACAAGGGGCUCAGGUAAUUUUCUGGGGUGCAACAAGCUUGGCCAGGCUCAUUUCAUCUGUGUGAGAAGAGCCAGUUUGGUCUCUGUAGAAAGUGAGCCCCCCAUUUUUCUCUUCUGGGGCUGGUGGGUUUACCCUGCCUGGAUGCCAUUUGCCCACCAAAGCCCUUCUGUCACUCCUGUUCUCAGAGGAAACGUGUGCACUUAGGAGACAACUGGCACUGUCAAUGCCUGCACUAGAGUAGUGAAAGAGCUCACAACAGCCUGUGGCUGGCUGCCCCUGCUUCAAGGCAAAUGUAAAUUAGGAAAACAGACUUAAAAUUGUUUCCCAGGGUUAAGGGGCUGCUUUGAUGGAGAACAAACAGUGAAAGGAAAUGAGCACACUUAUUAUAUUCCUGCAGAAGGCAGAAAGGCGACUGAGUUACAUGUGUUACAUAAACACUGAGGGACAGAGAUGAGUCCCUGCAGUCCAUAGAGCACAUGAAUGGGGGUAGGCAGAACAGUGUUGGUGUGGAUUAGCUCAGACUGUACAGUUACUGUGUGUUAGAAGUGAAACAAAAAAUGUAAUUUUAUUGCUAAUACAGCAGAAAUAAUUUAAAAAGGGAGUUGUGUUGGGAGGCAUACCUUAAUGCUCAGGUAGGUUUGGGACUCUCUUAUGAGGCUCUUUAAAUUUUCUUUUUGCUGUCCUUGCUGUUUAGACCUGGAGAGCAUUUUGUUGUUGUUUCACUUUUUCUAUUUGUUACCAUAGAAUAAAAUACUUAACUGAAAGGGAAGAAUGUUUUGAAGUAAGAAAAACCUAUUUUCAGUGAGUUAGAAAACUAAACCACUGAUAUUUACCAGUACAUCAGUCCAUAUUAGUUUGGUAAUAACUCUUUGUGCUUGAAAAGUUUUACCUGCUUGGCUGCUUCCUUUGGGACUAAGAAUUGACUGAAAGAGAAUUUCAAUAAGUGCACUGCUUCCAAGGGCUUUGAACAACAUGCAGUGGGCAAGGGUUGUGUAGUGUUGUAUUGUAUUGUAUUAUCCAGGAUUUCAUUCUUUGAAGAGAUGGAGAGAGAGCAAGCUAACAGUGUGUU